GGACAGGAGCCGCUGGAGGUCUGCUUGCCCCUCACCCACUUCCCUUCUCCUCCCCCUCCACACCCCUUUCUUUGGUUAGCCCCAUCUUCCAGAUUGGUCCUGAAGGUCCUGCUAGUACCUAAGUGGCUGUGUGUGAGGGAGGGAAAGAAAAGCAAGCACAACUGAUUGAUGCAUUUUUGAAGAAGUGUGGAAUGUGUAACACCUGUGGACUUCUCACCUCCUGGAUGGGGGUGGUGCUCUGAUUCUCAUAUCAUGCUGCUAACAUGGAUCUGAAGCAGGACUUGAACUCUGAACCUUCCUGACUCUCAAGCUGG